GUAGUGAGUCUUGCAAAAAGAAGAAAAAAAGAAACAAGCUAUUGAAGAAGCGACUGAAUCUGAAGAGGCAGAAUCAAUGCUGCUGGAAGAAUCGGUCAAAAUCCGGAUGGGUAGCAGAUCACAUCGAAUCUUUGGUUUCGUCGGGAAGCAGAACUGGACAUGGCCGAAAAAGUUGAAAGCUCCUGAACAAGUUUCCGGCACGUUCCGGGCAGAUAUGGGACAUCAAGACAUUAUAAAAAUGAUCCCGUAUGCCGAUCCGACUGAAGGGUUCAUUGCUGAUACCGGAGGCUACCAGCUCCAAGGUCAAUUUGGUAAAAAAAUUCAACUGCCAGCGUAACAAAUUUCCCGGACGGCCGGACCGUACGUGCCAUUUCUAUACCACCCGGUGCCAGAUGUUUGGAUUUUAUUUUUUCUGGACACUUCAGUUCAAAGGGAGACAAAAUAAAUAAAUAAAAUUAAAAAUUAGAACAGCAAAACAAAAAAACAACACUAGAAAUCAAUCAUAAGCAUUAAUUUAAAUCUAGCAUAUUUACUACGUAAUGCUUCAAACCAAUUAUAGAAAUGUAGUUACAUCUACUAUACUGCCCCUACUUUCAUAACAGUCCCAUAUGCAAAAACAUACAAGCGAGAAAAUCAGCUUCUUCUGUUUUGGCAUAUAUUUUGAAAUUGUGACCACAACUUUCAGCAUAAAUGAAAAACAUUUGAUGGAAUGUGUUCUAGGUUGUCAUAAUAAAUCGUAAAACCUGAAAUUUUCGAAAUUGGGUCAUUGGUAAGGUCGGGAGCACCAUUUUUUUCGUUAUGGGACUUUUAUGCGAGCAUAUUUCAAACCUUUUUUAAAUCUACUCGCAUAACAGUCCCAUACAGAAUAUGUUUUUCUCACCAAGCUUCUUUCUAAGACUUAAAUUUGAUCAUUUUUGAUCCUUUAAAUACAAUUUUCAUUAAAAGAAACAUAAUUUUGGAAAAAUAUCGUUAAUUCCGGAUUGUAAGUUGAAUCUUUCUACGAUUUUUGAUAGCAUCUGAUAGUUUUUCGCUUAGGAAGACAUUCCUUCCUUCUUACUGAUCUGGCUUCGAAAACUAGGGUGCAUAACUCGACAUCAAGUGAGUUAAAUCUUUUUUAAAUGAUUCAAAGCAAUAAAUCAAAGACUAUUUCGCCGAAAGAAGCAUUGAAAAGUAACCAUAUCCGUGUAUUUCACAUAUGGGACUGUUAUGCGGGUAUAUUCCACAUGGGACAGCCACAAGUUGAUAUUUUUUUUCGAAAUUUCUAGAACAAAAUCUCUUUUUUUAUUGUUUUAUAUUGAAGGUCUACGUUCAAAAUGACGAACUGUCAGGUUAGAUGAAAAAUGACGAAAAUUCAUAUGGGACUGUUAUGCGAGUAGGGGCAGUAUACCUGUAGUUGAACACAUAAAUUCAAUCAUAAAAAUUCGUUGGAAUUUAUCAUAUGUACAGUUAAACGCUGAACAACAAUUAUACGAUUAUAUUUAAAUUUAUUAUAUUUAUUGUUCAACGCCGAAAAUCAAUCAUACUACUGUAGUGUAGUCUAUUAUAUAUCUUGUUGAGUGCACAAUACCGAUCAGAUAAUCUAAUAUUUUUAUAGUUGAAAGUUUGAUAUUUAUAGUUAGCCGAGAAGCAAUCAGAAAUAUAGUUCAAUAUAGGCGGAAUAUUGUUGAAAAAACUAUACUUUAUUCUCCGUGAAUCUGUUGCAUUCAUCAGUGCAUUCAAUACUCAUACAAAUGAUCUUUUAUUGCAGGCAGAACAGCUACAAGUCACCCAAAACAUAACAAUCUGUUCACUUUUAACCGUAUUCCGUUUUCAAUUCAAAUCUAGAUAUUCCUUAAACUUAAUAAAAAUACCUUUGCAGUAACAGUAUUCUUAUUUGAAAGUUGGAAACCUACCACCA